AUACGGAGGGUGCAAGCGUUAAUCGGAAUUACUGGGCGUAAAGCGUACGUAGGCGGUCCGUUAAGUUAGAUGUGAAAGCCCCGGGCUUAACCUGGGAACUGCAUUUAAAACUGGCGGACUAGAGUUGAGUAGAGGGGAGUGGAAUUUCAGGUGUAGCGGUGAAAUGCGUAGAGAUCUGAAGGAACACCAGUGGCGAAGGCGACUCCCUGGACUCGAACUGACGCUGAGGUACGAAAGCGUGGGUAGCAAACGGGAUUAGAUACCCGAGUAGUCC
rnacentral:rRNA from 1 species